rnacentral:rRNA from 1 species
UGGGGAAUUUUGGACAAUGGGGGAAACCCUGAUCCAGCCAUCCCGCGUGUGCGAUGAAGGCCUUCGGGUUGUAAAGCACUUUUGGCAGGAAAGAAACGUCGCGGGUUAAUACCCCGCGAAACUGACGGUACCUGCAGAAUAAGCACCGGCUAACUACGUGCCAGCAGCCGCGGUAAUACGUAGGGUGCAAGCGUUAAUCGGAAUUACUGGGCGUAAAGCGUGCGCAGGCGGUUCGGAAAGAAAGAUGUGAAAUCCCAGAGCUUAACUUUGGAACUGCAUUUUUAACUACCGGGCUAGAGUGUGUCAGAGGGAGGUGGAAUUCCGCGUGUAGCAGUGAAAUGCGUAGNUAUGCGGAGGAACACCGAUGGCGAAGGCAGCCUCCUGGGAUAACACUGACGCUCAUGCACGAAAAGCGUGGGGAGCAAACAGGAUUAGAUACCCUGGUAGUCCACGCCCUAAACGAUGUCAACUAGCUGUUGGGGCCUUCGGGGCCUUGGUAGCGCAGCUAACGCGUGAAGUUGACCGCCUGGGGGAGUACGGUCGCAAGAUU